UUCACACUAGCAUGUUUGUUUCUCCAGGAUUAAUGUCAGACUAUGCUCUUUGGGCAGGAAUACGGAUGGCGCCAUGUUCUCAAGUGUAUGUCGCAUCACGGGGCCCACACUCCGGAUGGCCCCGUUGUUGGGGAAUCUCUCUCCAGAUGCAGAGGUCUUGAUGAAGUGGGAAGAGUUCUUGACUGAGAAUAUGCUGGUGUGUGCAAAGUGAGGUUAUAUCUAAAAGAAAGCUAAAACUGAUGAAUUUGCAGUUAGAAGUGAAUUUAAUGACAAUCAUUCUUCAACAAAGAAAGACCAAACUGACACCUCUAAGAUGCCACAUCAGAGACGUCUCCACUCAAAAUAGCUUCACAACAGACCGGUUCUCACAUCUUUACUAAUAAACACAAGAUCUCAUCACCAAUGCUUGUGGUGAGGAUUUCACAAUGAUUGGGGGUGUCGUGGCUCAUUUGUGAACCAGAUGUGUCUAAACUGAAAUCUGAAAAUUCUCACUUGGUAAACAGGAUGAUGAAAGCUGGACGUGAAGCGGCCUUGUGGAGGUAUAAGCAUGAAAGAACUGUUUACACGUUUUUGGAGCUCAAAUUUGGGACAGUUGUUAUUUUACAAGAUUGAGAUUUUCCUUUAUUUACCUGGUGUCUAACUUGGUUCUCAAAUUGUAGUUCAGUUUUAUCCAUGGCAACAAAAACUAGCGUUUGAGAAUGAAGCUUUUAUUUGUUGGGGAAAUGAAAGCCAAAUCAUCUUGUUUGUUUUGGAUACUCAUAAAGAUCGAAGCAUAAACCGUUCUCACGUUUUUAUGUGUGUGUUGUGAGUAAAUAUAUGCCAUGGUGAUAUCAGGCCCAGUGAUACUAAAAAAAAAAAAAA